AUCCAAAUGUGCCCUCCACGGGGAUCACAGCAUGGUGAGUCCACUUGUUAGGAAGCCACUUUGCAAGCCCAAAAUCGGUAAUCUAAAUAUAGACGUUCAAAAAGUUAAAGUGACCCAGAAGAACAUUAGAAGCUUUGAUGUCACGGUGAAUUAUUCGGUGUUUGCAACAUUUAUGAAGAUAAUGAAGGCCCCUUGCAACACCAAUGGCAAUUUUGUAUCUGAUUGGCCAGUCUAGUGGAUCUCCAGCUUUACCUGAUAAUGAUUUCAAUAACAAACAAUACUUUGCUGAAAAAUGAAAUAAAAUAAGGAAUUGGAA